rnacentral:rRNA from 1 species
UCUAAAGCCAUGGCGAGUCGAGAGGUGCAAGACCUCGGCGCACUGCUCAGUGACACGUGGACAACCUACCCUGUGGAGGGGGAUAACCCCGGAAAACUGGGGAUAAUACCCCAUAGGUUAGGGAGGCUGGAAUGCCCCCUAGCUCAAAGGUCCGCCGCCACAGGAUGGGUCUGCGGCCGAUUAGGUUGUUGUUGGGGUAACGGCCCAACAAGCCUUUGAUCGGUACGGGUUGUGGGAGCAAGAGCCCGGAGAUGGAUUCUGAGACACGAAUCCAGGCCCUACGGGGCGCAGCAGGCGCGAAAACUUUACAAUGCGAGAAAUCGUGAUAAGGGAACCCCGAGUGCCCGUAAAUUCGGGCUGUCCGCCAGUGCAAAAAACUGGUGAAGAAAGAGCCGGGCAAGACCGGUGCCAGCCGCCGCGGUAAUACCGGCGGCUCGAGUGGUGGCCACUAUUACUGGGCUUAAAGCGUCCGUAGCUUGGUUGUUAAGUCUCCUGGGAAAUCCAUCGGCUCAACCGAUGGGCGUUCAGGAGAUACUGGCAACCUAGGGACCGGGAGAGGUGAGAGGUACUCCAGGGGUAGGAGUGAAAUCCUGUAAUCCUUGGGGGACCACCUGUGGCGAAGGCGUCUCACUAGAACGGCUCCGACAGUGAGGGACGAAAGCUGGGGGAGCAAACCGGAUUAGAUACCCGGGUAGUCCCAGCUGUAAACGAUGCGCGUUAGGUGUAUCGGUGACCACGAGUCACCGAGGUGCCGAAGAGGAAUCGUGAAACGUGCCGCCUGGGAAGUACGGUCGCAAGGCUGAAACUUAAAGGAAUUGGCGGGGGAGCACCACAACAGGUGGAGCCUGCGGUUUAAUCGGACUCAACGCCGGGAAGCUCACCGGAUAAGACAGCUGAAUGAUAGCCGGGUUGAAGACUCUGCUUGACUAGCUGAGAGGAGGUGCAUGGCCGUCGUCAGUCGUACUGAAGNUUNNUC